GAUNGUGAAUGGAAAACAGCCACAGGUGAAAUGCAUCUCAGUAAUUGUUUACAUAACAUUUAAAAAUAGAAAUGUGAAUGGAAAACAGCCACAGGUGAAAUGCAUCUCAGUAAUUGUUUACAUAACAUUUAAAAAUAGAAAUGUGAAUGGAAAACAGCCACAGGAAUUCUUUAAACUUUGUUGUGCAUUUUUUGAAAUUGCAGAGUGAACAAACAGUCAGUUGUUGGCAUUGGGUCUGAAGUCAAUAACACAGAUUCAGAUUGUGAAAAAAGUUUUAUUGAACAUAUUUCAGUAUGUAUUAGUAUGAAAUAUGUUUUAUAUCAUUAUUUGUGUUCUUUUAGAAUUAAGGAGAAGGUUGUUUCAAUAGAAAGGAAGAAUUACGGUUACUGAUGUGGGGGACGUAAAAUGCAAGUUGGCUUAAAAUUCAUGUAUGUAAUCAAUAAAAACAAACAUAAUUAAAUUAUAGUUUGGAUGAUUGAAUUACCGGAAGCAUUCCUAUACACCUAUAGAUGCAGGAUUAUGAAACUCCUAUGAAUUAUCUAAUUGAGUUUUAUAGUGUUUACUGUUUUAAAUGUGAUAUAUGAGUACAAAGUAAUUUUGUAAUUCAUUUUAGUAGUCAGUGUUAGGAGUGUGUAUAUAUUUUUCAACAUUCAGGUUACAAGUGUUGUUUGAUAGGUGUUAAAUUCCAAUUUUAAUUCAACUCAGUUUUCUAUUUGAUGACCCUUAUCUGGCAGGCACUGUUGGUUAUUUGUAAGCUUAGUAACUUGUGAAUUUCAUCUACUAACAGAAACAAAUUUCAUUGAUUAAUAUUUGAAAUUUACAAAUAUAAUUAUUAGUGAUGUAACGAAUAUUCGGUUACUAUUUGGUAUUCUGCCUAUUCGGCUCAUUUUUUGCUAUUGGGCCAAAUACCGAAUAUUUAAUCACUAUUCGGCCGAAUACCAAACACGUAUA